AUUGAACGCUGGCGGCAGGCUUAACACAUGCAAGUCGAGCGAGCGGCGGACGGGUGAGUAAUGUCUGGGAAACUGCCUGAUGGAGGGGGAUCACUACUGGAAACGGUAGCUAAUACCGCAUACCAUCAGAUGUGCCCAGAUGGGAUUAGCUAGUAGGUGGGGUAAUGGCUCACCUAGGCGAAGAUCCCUAGCUGGUCUGAGAGGAUGACCAGCCACACUGGAACUGAGACAAGGGCCAGACUCCUCCGGGAGGCAGCAGUGGGGAAUAUUGCGCAAUGGGCGAAAGCCUGAUGCAGCCAUGCCGCGUGUGUGAAGAAGGCCUUCGGGUUGUAAAGCACUUUCAGCGAGGAGGCGUUACUCGCAGAAGAAGCACCGGCUAACUCCGUGCCAGCAGCCGCGGUAAUAC
rnacentral:rRNA from 1 species